UUCUGCACUCUUGUUUUCAAUUGCGGUCCACAAGCGUACCCAGCGCGCUCUUGCACGACUCUACGGUCUGCGCUCCAAAAAGAUUACUUCGGUCACGAGCAUCACCUGUUCCAGGAGCGACUGCUAUUGCUUCUACAUUCCUUCGCCAGUGGCGUCCUGCUGGUAGACUUGACUCGUCUGCUCGCCCUGCGCUACUACUACUGCUUCUGCACUCUUGUUUUCAAUUGCGGUGCACAAGCGUACCCAGCGCGCUCUUGCACGACUCUACGGUCUGCGCUCCAAAAAGAUUACUUCGGCCUCGAGCAUCACCUGUUCCAGGAGCAACUGCUAUUCCUUCUACAUUCCCUCGCCAGUGGCGUCCUGCUCGUAGACUUGACUCGUCUGCUCGCCCUGCGCUACUACUACUGCAUCUGCACUCCUGUUCCCAAUUACGGUCGACAAGCGUACCCAGCGCGCUCUUGCACGACUCUACGGUCUGCGCCCCAAUAAGAUUACUUCGGUCACGAGCAUCACCUGUUCCAGGAGCAACUGCUAUUCCUUCUACAUUCCCUCGCCAGUGGCGUCCUGCUUGUAGACUUUACUCGUCUCCUCGCCCUACGCUACUA